AGCGAACGCUGGCGGCAGGCCUAACACAUGCAAGUCGAACGGACCCUUCGGGGUUAGUGGCGGACGGGUGAGUAACACGUGGGAACGUGCCUUUAGGUUCGGAAUAGCUCCUGGAAACGGGUGGUAAUGCCGAAUGUGCCCUUCGGGGGAAAGAUUUAUCGCCUUUAGAGCGGCCCGCGUCUGAUUAGCUAGUUGGUGAGGUAAUGGCUCACCAAGGCGACGAUCAGUAGCUGGUCUGAGAGGAUGACCAGCCACACUGGGACUGAGACACGGCCCAGACUCCUACGGGAGGCAGCAGUGGGGAAUCUUGUGCAAUGGGCGAAAGCCUGACGCAGCCAUGCCGCGUGAAUGAUGAAGGUCUUAGGAUUGUAAAAUUCUUUCACCGGGGACGAUAAUGACGGUACCCGGAGAAGAAGCCCCGGCUAACUUCGUGCCAGCCGCCGCCGUAA
rnacentral:rRNA from 1 species